rnacentral:rRNA from 1 species
GAUGAACGCUAGCUACAGGCUUAACACAUGCAAGUCGAGGGGCAUCAGGAAGAAAGCUUGCUUUCUUUGCUGGCGACCGGCGCACGGGUGAGUAACACGUAUCCAACCUGCCCUUUACUCGGGGAUAGCCUUUCGAAAGAAAGAUUAAUACCCGAUAGCAUAAUGAUUCCGCAUGGUUUCAUUAUUAAAGGAUUCCGGUAAAGGAUGGGGAUGCGUUCCAUUAGGUUGUUGGUGAGGUAACGGCCCACCAAGCCUUCGAUGGAUAGGGGUUCUGAGAGGAAGGUCCCCCACAUUGGAACUGAGACACGGUCCAAACUCCUACGGGAGGCGGCAGUGAGGAAUAUUGGUCAAUGGGCGCUAGCCUGAACCAGCCAAGUAGCGUGAAGGAUGAAGGCUCUAUGGGUCGUAAACUUCUUUUAUAUAAGAAUAAAGUGCAGUAUGUAUACUGUUUUGUAUGUAUUAUAUGAAUAAGGAUCGGCUAACUCCGUGCCAGCAGCCGCGGUAAUACGGAGGAUCCGAGCGUUAUCCGGAUUUAUUGGGUUUAAAGGGAGCGUAGGUGGACUGGUAAGUCAGUUGUGAAAGUUUGCGGCUCAACCGUAAAAUUGCAGUUGAUACUGUCAGUCUUGAGUACAGUAGAGGUGGGCGGAAUUCGUGGUGUAGCGGUGAAAUGCUUAGAUAUCACGAAGAACUCCGAUUGCGAAGGCAGCUCACUGGACUGCAACUGACACUGAUGCUCGAAAGUGUGGGUAUCAAACAGGAUUAGAUACCCUGGUAGUCCACACAGUAAACGAUGAAUACUCGCUGUUUGCGAUAUACAGUAAGCGGCCAAGCGAAAGCAUUAAGUAUUCCACCUGGGGAGUACGCCGGCAACGGUGAAACUCAAAGGAAUUGACGGGGGCCCGCACAAGCGGAGGAACAUGUGGUUUAAUUCGAUGAUACGCGAGGAACCUUACCCGGGCUUAAAUUGCAGUGGAAUGAUGUGGAAACAUGUCAGUGAGCAAUCACCGCUGUGAAGGUGCUGCAUGGUUGUCGUCAGCUCGUGCCGUGAGGUGUCGGCUUAAGUGCCAUAACGAGCGCAACCCUUAUCUUCAGUUACUAACAGGUCAUGCUGAGGACUCUGGAGAGACUGCCGUCGUAAGAUGUGAGGAAGGUGGGGAUGACGUCAAAUCAGCACGGCCCUUACGUCCGGGGCUACACACGUGUUACAAUGGGGGGUACAGAAGGCAGCUAGCGGGUGACCGUAUGCUAAUCCCAAAAGCCUCUCUCAGUUCGGAUCGAAGUCUGCAACCCGACUUCGUGAAGCUGGAUUCGCUAGUAAUCGCGCAUCAGCCAUGGCGCGGUGAAUACGUUCCCGGGCCUUGUACACACCGCCCGUCAAGCCAUGAAAGCCGGGGGUACCUGAAGUACGUAACCGCAAGGAGCGUCCUAGGGUAAAACUGGUAAUUGGGGCU